rnacentral:ncRNA from 1 species
CAAAGGUUUGGUCCUGACUUUACUAUCAGCUCUAACCCAAUUUAUACAUGCAAGUAUCUGCACCCCUGUGAGAAUGCCCUCAAUCCCCUGCCCGGAGAUGAGGAGCAGGUAUCAGGCACAAUUUAAAGCCCAAGACGCCUUGCUACGCCACACCCCUAAGGGAUUUCAGCAGUAAUAAAUAUUAAGCUAUAAGUGUAAACUUGACUUAGUCACGGUUAAAAGGGUCGGUAAAAUUCGUGCCAGCCACCGCGGUUAUACGAAAGACCCUAGUUGAUAGCCACGGCGUAAAGGGUGGUUAAGGGAAAUAAUAAAUAAAGCUAAAGACCCUCUAAGUCGUCAUACACAUUUCGAAGGUACGAAACCCAAACACGAAAGUAGCUUUAAACACACCAACCUGAUCCCACGAAAGCUAAGAAACAAACUGGGAUUAGAUACCCCACUAUGCUUAGCCCUAAACCUAGACACACCAUUACACACGUGUCCGCCCGGGUACUACGAGCACAGCUUAAAACCCAAAGGACUUGGCGGUAUCUCAGACCCACCUAGAGGAGCCUGUUCUAGAACCGAUAACCCCCGUUAAACCUCACCCCUUCUUGUUUUUCCGCCUAUAUACCGCCGUCGUCAGCUUACCCUGUGAAGGUUAAAUAGUAAGCAAAAUGGGCCCACCCAAAAACGUCAGGUCGAGGUGUAGCGUACGAAGGGGGAAGAAAUGGGCUACAUUUUCUAAUCAACAGAAUAUUACGAAUGAGCACCCUGAAACAUAGUGCCUAAAGGUGGAUUUAGUAGUAAAAAGCAAAUAGAGAGUUCUUUUGAAAUAGGCUCUGAGACGCGCACACACCGCCCGUCACUCUCCCCCACCCCUUCAAAUUAACAUUACUAAUACCUUAAAAAAUAAUACGGGGAGGCAAGUCGUAACAUGGUAAGUGUACCGGAAGGUGUACUUGGAAUAAU